UUUAUUUGUGGAGUUGAUUUAUAAUUCAGAGAGACUAGAGAAAUUGUUCAAAUCCAUUUCUUCUGUUUCUAGGUCAAGCAUCUUUGCCAUUUGCAACUCGGUCUACAAUCAGUCAUUCAAUUGUGAAGACAUGGGUCAUGAUAAAACCCACUUUACAAAAUUAAUACAUGAAAGAAAAGCGAGGAGACAACCCACCAGGAGAGCUUCACAGUUGUGCAGAAACUGGACAUGCACAAAAAGAGAAGUCAACAUAGUAGAGGAUGACUGUUUAUCAACUGUUGCUGGAAGCCUCAAUGAACAGUCUAUAUAAUCUGCUUCCUCUGACAAACAUCUGUUGGAUGUCUCAAAACUAAGUCCUUCCUCAUUAAACCACAGGUCAUGUCUAGUAUAGGAUGCCUCAUGUGAAGUAACUACACAACUAACAUUGCCUUCAGCUGUCUAGCACACAGAUCCCAGGCACUAACUCCCUACCCCCUCACCCCCCUGCAUCCAAUAGUUGUAAAUCUGGAGACCAUGCCACCCGGAAAACAAAACUUCAUAAGGGAAGGGUAUGGUGUUUGCUAGGAAGACAAACACACAUGCGUACAUACACAUAUUAGUUUGUUUAUUCAUCCAGCAGAUGUUUUUUGAGUACCACUAGGUAACAGAUACCAUAAGAAUUUCAAAGUGGAGGCACAUCUAGUGGGUACAAUUAAUUAAAGAGGUGUUAUCGACUCAGAUAAAGAGGAAAGCAUUUUGGCAUCUCUUCUGUUGUGAUCUCGGCUGUCAGUUCUGUAACCACAUUUCCUGAUUGUAACUAUACAAAUCCUGAAGUAAGAGGAAUUGGAAUUCCAGAGGAAAAAAUAUAGCAAAAUUAAAAUAGUUAAAUUUAAAAUUUCUCAAUAUAUGAAGACCAAGAUUUCAAUAAAUACAUUUAUAUAGAACCA
rnacentral:lncRNA from 1 species